rnacentral:rRNA from 1 species
GGAGGAAAAGAAACUAACAAGGAUUCCCCUAGUAACUGCGAGUGAAGCGGGAAAAGCUCAAAUUUAAAAUCUGGUAGUCUCUGGCUGCCCGAGUUGUAAUCUAGAGAAGCAUUAUCCGCGCUGGACCGUGUAUAAGUGUCCUGGAAUGGACCAUCAUAGAGGGUGAGAAUCCCGUCUUUGACACGGACGCCCAGGGCUUUGUGAUGUGCUCUCAAAGAGUCGAGUUGUUUGGGAAUGCAGCUCUAAAUGGGUGGUAAAUUCCAUCUAAAGCUAAAUAUUGGCGAGAGACCGAUAGCGAACAAGUACCGUGAGGGAAAGAUGAAAAGAACUUUGGAAAGAGAGUUAAACAGUACGUGAAAUUGCUGAAAGGGAAACGCUUGAAGUCAGUCGCGUUGGCUGGGGAUCAACCUUGCUUUUGCUUGGCUUACUUCCCAGUUGACGGGUCAGCAUCAGUUUUGACCGGUGGAUAAAGGCUAGGGGAAUGUGGCACCUCCGGGUGUGUUAUAGCCCUUGGUCAUAUACACUGGUUGGGACUGA